GAGGUAAUCUAGGUAGUGGAGGUAAUCUAGGUAGUGGAGGUAAUCUAGGUAGUGGAGGUAAUCUAGGUAGUGGAGGUAAUCUAGGUAGUGGAGGUAAUCUAGGUAAUCUAGGUAGUGGAGGUAAUCUAGGUAGUGGAGGUAAUCUAGGUAGUCAAGGUAGUGGAGGUAAUCUAGGUAGUGGAGGUAAUCUAGGUAGUGGAGGUAAUCUAGGUAGUCAAGGUAGUGGAGGUAAUCUAGGUAGUGGAGGUAAUCUAGGUAGUGGAGGUAAUCUAGGUAGUCAAGGUACUGGAGGUAAUCUAGGUAGUGGAGGUAAUCUAGGUAGUCAAGGUAGUGGAGGUAAUCUAGGUAGUGGAGGUAAUCUAGGUAGUGGAGGUAAUCUAGGUAGUCAAGGUAGUUGAGGUAAUCUAGGUAGUGGAGGUAAUCUAGGUAGUGGAGGUAAUCUAGGUAGUCAAGGUAGUGGAGGUAAUCUAGGUAGUGGAGGUAAUCUAAGUAGUGGAGGUAAUCUAGGUCACAGAAUAAGGACAUACAGAAGUGUAACUUCCAUUACAAAACCGUAAGGCGCUUUUUUUUGGCGGCCAUGUUCUUAGCAAGUGCCCUAAAGAGAGGCAUUCACCCCCCUGAACUCAAUAUUCAAGAUGGCGGCCGUUUAGAGGAGUUUAUUAAAUAGAAAGCAAUGUGAACUCUUUUUACUCGUUUGAUUUAAGGAUUAUUGUCACCAAAUUAUUUUUGGAACUCCAAAUAAUGUGUGCGUAGAGGAUACGGGUUACAGGAAAUAUUUUAAAUAUUAUAUUUUGUUUUUUUUUAUCGUCGUAGGAGUGAAAACAAGUAUUCAUGGUAAAAUUACUCAACGCAUGUUUGUAAAAAUCGCUUCAAUCCUCAAUACCAGGAUAACCGACUCUGUUCUACACUAUAUCCUACAAUUGAAAAUGUUGAUAAGAUAAAUUUAGGUAAUGGGCGAAACUAUUCUAGACUUGCAAGUGGUUGCAAGUCAAAAAUAAAGUUGGAAAUAUACAAAUUAAGGCAGAGUUGAUAAUAGAAGUAAAUAGACAGUAGCACCAUGGAAAUAUAUAAAACAUGUAAAUUAAAAACAGUUUUUUGUGGAUACUGUGUGUGUAAUAUGUUUUAUGAUGAUUCUGUUGUGUAGCAAAACAAGUAACACUGCCUGGGGGCAGUUGUUAGAGUUAGUUAUUUGAAUAGUAGACGAGAUAAAUUUAGUCUUUCUCAUGCUGCCACAUUUAGCUGGGACAGGGAUAGCAAGCAAUAAAAAUGAGGCUAUUUUAUAAACGACGUGAAAAUCUAAGCAAUGGGAGAAUAAUUUUGCAACUGCAAAUUACAGCUCUUAUAAGUACAAUGAUUAUAUAUCGAUUUCAGACCUGCCAACCCUUGAGUAGCAGAAAUAGUGAGUUGCCGUCUAAAAUGUCGUGAGAUUGACUGAAAAUUUGUGAGACUAAAAAAUCGUGAGAGAAAUUUUCAGGUUUGCUCAUUAAUAUGACCUAGGUUAACUUUAACAAUAUAUUACACUAGAAAAUAAUCAUUAGAUUUAUAAUUUUAUGAUAGAAGAUACCCAAAAUGUAGUUUUAUACAACCUGGAGUUGAAUUCUCUGGUGUAAGACAAGAUAAAAUAAUAAAGAAAGCCAGUGGCAGAAAUCUUGGUGGGGCAGGGGGCGACGCCCCCCCCCCCCCCUCCUCAUGGAAAAUGACAAAUUUUCAGAAAUUUUGACCUAAAAGAGGGGAAAAAACAGACUUUUCGAGCGCAAAUAGGGAGGUUUGUUGGAAAUUUGAAAGUUUUGUCGGAAAUUUUGGAGGCUUUGCCCCCACCGGAAAAAGUGAAUUUCUGCCACUGAAGGCGGCAAAUUAUGGCUCAAAUUAUGUCAGUUAACUGGAGACAUUAGCAGAUAGGUUUGCCAUUAACAGGCAGUGCUCUUCACUGACAAGUAAAACCAUGGCAUUUUAGCAGAGUAAUAUAUAAAAUACUUAAACAGGCACUUUCAGACUCCAGUAAAAGGGGUUGCAAAUUUUAAGUGAAAAAAUGAAAUCCAG